rnacentral:rRNA from 1 species
GACGAACGCUGGCGGCGUGCUUAACACAUGCAAGUCGAACGGUAAGGCCCUUCGGGGUACACGAGUGGCGAACGGGUGAGUAACACGUGGGUGAUCUGCCCUGCACUUCGGGAUGAGCCUGGGAAACUGGGUCUAAUACCGGAUAGGACCCUGGGAUGCAUGUCCUGGGGUGGAAAGCUUUUGCGGUGUGGGAUGGGCCCGCGGCCUAUCAGCUUGUUGGUGGGGUGAUGGCCUACCAAGGCGACGACGGGUAGCCGGCCUGAGAGGGUGACCGGCCACACUGGGACUGGGAGACGGCCCAGACUCCUACGGGAGGCAGCAGUGGGGAAUAUUGCACAAUGGGCGCAAGCCUGAUGCAGCGACGCCGCGUGAGGGAUGACGGCCUUCGGGUUGUAAACCUCUUUCAGCACCGACGAAGCGCAAGUGACGGUAGGUGCAGAAGAAGGACCGGCCAACUACGUGCCAGCCGCCGCCGUAA